CAUCAUCUAGCGGUUGAUUUUACAAUUCAGACGAUUGUCCAGUGUGCCGCUAGAUGGUGUUGGUAUUGUUUUUUAAAUGGCGAAAUAUGUGAACAAGUUAUGUCAUCUUUUGUAUUCGAAUUUUCAUGUUUUACUGCCCUAAACCAACCAAUUAUUUACAUAAAAUGUACCUACCGUCUAGUCAUCAGAUUAAAUUUGGACUCCAUAUUAAAAAAUAAAAACCAAUUGCUCAACCCUUCUGUGACUCACACGCUCAGCUACAUCUGCAUCAUCCUCUCACAUCUUAGACAAAACAGUUCCUUCUUGCCUGAAAGAUGUUUACACCUUUAAACACUUUCGGUGGGGUUGUUGCGUCAUGAAAUUGUAUUUCUGCAUUUCUCCCACUUCAUAGCUACAAGAAACGAGUUAUAGGAAGCCUACAACAGAUUGAGGAAUCGAUAGGUUGUGUGAUAUGCUAUUGCAAUUUCAUCCAUGUUUAAAUGGUGUGGAAUCCUGGAAUUAUACUGACUAUUAGCGCCGUUCAACAUUUGGUCUUGUAGCGGUCGCAUUUUUAGCCAUACUUCUCCGCCAGCCGUUUUUUAGUGGAGAGUCGGAGAGGUUGAUCCAAAAUCCUUUACACUAUUCGUUACAUCUCUGAGAUCGCGAUUCGGCCGCCGAUGUCGAUGUUCAACGCAGUUUCUUUAUUGGAAUUGUGUGGUCCUGGCAAGGAGAUCCUUGAGCCAACGCUGGCUUUUCGCUCACUUCAGUGGUCGCAUCCGUCUGUCGAG